CAGGAGUGCCUGACUUCCUGAUGGCUUAAAGAGAAAUAAAGAAUGACCUUUGGGACAUUGGAAAACAAGGAGCAAAAAUCAUCUGUCCACUCUCCCCAUUGUGAAAGACCUUAAGAAAAGGGUAUGGUUGUUGCAAUGCUGGAAAAGUUCCAUCAGCCCGCCAAAUGAGGGUCUGUCCCACAGGCUUGAGAUGCCUCUGCAGUCCCCACACUAAGGGACCACCUGGUGACAAGCAGAAAAAUGGACUGUUGAACGGCAUGCAAACGCUGGAGGAUUUUCCUCAACGAUGUACCUGAAAGACAAUUCAAUGGACCCUGGAGUGGGAUGGCAGAUACAUCAUCAUCUGCAAUUGUUCGGUCAAUGUGGCAGCCACUCGCCACAUGUGGCUAUUGAACACUUGAGAUGUGGUUAGACUGAAUGGAGAUGUGCAGUUCAUUUCCCUUGCAAUAUGGUUUCCGUGGUGGAUGCUGUCAUCUCUCUGAUGUGCCACUGAGGUCUCCUUCAAGAUGCCAUGAGGGCAGUCAGCAGUCAGCACUCCAUUGCAGACCCCUUCAGGAAUUAUCUUAACUGAAUAAAGCCACCUGGUUCAAGGACACAACGCCUUCUCAAGGUGGUCCACAUUUAAGUGAUUUAUUGACAUGAGGACUCAGCCCAUCCCUCUUGUCCUAACUUGGUAGAGUUUUAAGAAGUCGUUCUACCUCCAGAACUGCCACAGAGUCACCUGAGGUUCCAGCUGAGAAGGCAUUGCAGCUCAACCUCUCGCUCUCCCAAAUCCUGCUGUCUUUUCUCUCCCAGGCGUUGGUCUUAAGAACACACCCUAACAAACCCCCUAACUGCUAAUUCUCUUCUGAUUGGCUUCUAGAGAAAACCAAUCUGUGACAGUCUCUAACACCUGAAUCUAAUGUAGCACAGGAUCCUCUUAUAAUAGCCUA